GUCUACGGCCAUACCACCCUGAAAGUGCCCGAUCUCGUCUGAUCUCGGAAGCUAAGCAGGGUCGGGCCUGGUUAGUACUUGGGUGGGAGGCCUCUGCCUUCAGAUCAGGUCAUGAUC
rnacentral:rRNA from 1 species